rnacentral:piRNA from 1 species
UGGGUGUCAAAAUGACUGUGGAACUGUCC